AUUGAACGCUGGCGGCAUGCCUUACACAUGCAAGUCGAACGGUAACGGGCCUUCGGGUGCCGACGAGUGGCGAACGGGUGAGUAAUACAUCGGAACGUGCCCGAUCGUGGGGGAUAACGAGGCGAAAGCUUUGCUAAUACCGCAUACGAUCUACGUAUGCAAGCAGGGGACCGCAAGGCCUUGCGCGGGCGGAGCGGCCGAUGGCAGAUUAGGUAGUUGGUGGGAUAAAAGCUUACCAAGCCGACGAUCUGUAGCUGGUCUGAGAGGAUGAUCAGCCACACUGGGACUGAGACACGGCCCAGACUCCUACGGGAGGCAGCAGUGGGGAAUUUUGGACAAUGGGCGCAAGCCUGAUCCAGCCAUGCCGCGUGCAGGAUGAAGGCCUUCGGGUUGUAAACUGCUUUUGUACGGAACGAAAAGCCUUCUUUUAAUACAGGAGGGUCAUGACGGUACCGUAAGAAUAAGCACCGGCUAACUACGUG
rnacentral:rRNA from 1 species